AUACGAAAGGUGCAAGCGUUGUUCGGAUUUACUGGGCGUAAAGAGAGUGUAGGUUGUUUAUUAAGUCGGAUGUGAAAUCCCGGUGCUCAACCUCGGAACUGCAUUCGAUACUGGUAGACUAGAGUUCGGGAGGGGUAAGCGGAAUUCCGUGUGUAGCAGUGAAAUGCGUAGAUAUACGGAGGAACACCUGAGGCGAAGGCGGCUUACUGGACCGAUACUGACACUGAGACUCGAAAGCGUGGGUAGCAAACAGGAUUAGAAACCCCAGUAGUCC
rnacentral:rRNA from 1 species